rnacentral:rRNA from 1 species
UACAGAGGGGGCAAGCAUUGUUCGGAAUUACUGGGCGUAAAGGGCGCGUAGGCGGCCUUCUAAGUCGAACGUGAAAUCCCCGGGCUCAACCCGGGAACUGCGUCCGAUACUGGAAGGCUUGAAUCCGGGAGAGGGAUGUGGAAUUCCAGGUGUAGCGGUGAAAUGCGUAGAUAUCUGGAGGAACACCGGUGGCGAAGGCGACAUCCUGGACCGGUAUUGACGCUGAGGCGCGAAAGCCAGGGGAGCAAACAGG